rnacentral:rRNA from 1 species
GUGCCAGACUCCUACGGGAGGCAGCAGUGAGGAAUAUUGGUCAAUGGGCGGAAGCCUGAACCAGCCAAGUCGCGUGAGGGAUUAAGGCCCUGCGGGUCGUAAACCUCUUUUGCCGGGGAGCAGUGGUCCGGACGCGUCCGGACCGGGAGAGUACCCGGAGAAAAAGCAUCGGCUAACUCCGUGCCAGCAGCCGCGGUAAUACGGAGGAUGCGAGCGUUAUCCGGAUUUAUUGGGUUUAAAGGGUGCGUAGGCGGAAUGCCAAGUCAGGGGUAAAAUCGCGGGGCUCAACCUGGCUCCGCCGUUGAAACUGGCGUUCUUGAGUGGGCGAGAAGUAUGCGGAAUGCGUGGUGUAGCGGUGAAAUGCAUAGAUAUCACGCAGAACUCCGAUUGCGAAGGCAGCAUACCGGCGCCCAACUGGCGCUGAAGCACGAAAGCGUGGGUAUCGAACAGGAUUAGAUACCCCAGUA